CGACCGGGUGAGUAACACGUGACUAACCUACCUUCGAGUGGGGGAUAACCUCGGGAAACCGGGGCUAAUACCGCAUAAUAUCUUCGGGAUGAGAAGCCGAAGAUCAAAGGAGCAAUUCGCUGGAAGAGGGAGUCGCGGCUGAUUAGCUAGUUGGCGGGGUAAUGGCCCACCAAGGCUUUGAUCGGUAGCCGGCCUGAGAGGGUGAUCGGCCACACUGGAACUGAGACACGGUCCAG
rnacentral:rRNA from 1 species